rnacentral:lncRNA from 1 species
AUUUAUGGGAGGCACUUUUUAAAACACUUCUACCGUAAGGUUUUUCUCUGUGUUCUUCUAACACCUCUGGAGUUAUUUGUUUGUGAUCAUAAAAAUUGGUAAAAAGAGAGCAGCGGGCAUCAGAGCUGAUAUGUGAAGUGCCAAUCAACUUUUGGAUCAUCAUUUGCUAUGACAGCAGUGGGAAGGAAGAAGAAUGGUGGUCACCAAUUUAUUUUAAUGUGUCCUGCAACCUUGUGAUUGAUUAGAGAAAAAACAGAUUGUUUCAUCCUUUUUCCACAAUUGGAUUUUCUGGUUAAAUCCAGAACUGCCGAAGUGCAAUAAAACACUCCCAUGAAAGCAGUAAUCUCCCUAAAUCUUCAAAUUCCCCCCGCCUCCCCAAACCUCAUUUCAUACACAAACAUGGAACAAAAUGAUGUAUAAAAGCAGCAAAAGUGAUUACCAUCAGCAGAGUUUCCUUUUUAAUGUAUUAGACCUUUAAUCUUUUAUUAAGUGUUGGCCAUUAAAAUUAUUAAACUGCAUCCCCUCCUCCUGACAACGUACAGUUUUUGAAUGAAUUGACUAAGGUACUUAAAAAUAUAUACUGUGUUGUUUCUACGGCUCUGUUGGUCUGUAUUUUUAAGAGUAAAUUUUGCAUUGCUUAAUGAGGUCAUCUCAUCCCUUUCUUCAAAGCUGGUGGCUCCUGGCGGCUGUAGGAGCUGCAUCUCCCCUCCGUUCUCAUGGAAGCGCAGGGAUCCAGGAAGCUCCUCUGGAUGAUGGAAUUCAGCACUGCUCUUCUCUGUGAUGCCACUCAUUACCUGUGCAAGACCUUUUCAACAUAGAAGCAGAAGACAAACACUUGCAAAGGGAAAACAACUCCCUGUAACUACAUACUGCAUCUCUCACCACGCUUUUUAAUCUCUAACACACUAGGAGCAUGUGCCAGAUAGCAUGUGUACCUUUCAGAGAUAACCUGGAGUUACACAGCCACCAGCUCAAGCAACAUGAACUUCAGCCUCACACGGCCUGUUCCAAUUUGCCCACGCUAAGCCUUCAUGUUCCCACAGCAAAUGCCAGUGCCUUGAGUUUGCUGGAUACAGAUACUCCAAGGGACUGCUUAGGUAUGCAGCUACAUCCAUGUUGGCUUUGUGUAGCUGAUGCAUCUGUUGUUGUUGUUGUUGUUGUUUUUAUUUGUUUGCUUUUGUGAAAUAAUGGAAAUUCCAAUCGUAAUUUUGGUGGGAG